rnacentral:rRNA from 1 species
UACAGAGGUGGCAAGCGUUGUUCGGAAUUACUGGGCGUAAAGGGCGCGUAGGCGGCGCAAUAAGUCACUUGUGAAAUCUCCGGGCUUAACUCGGAGCGGCCAAGUGAUACUGUUGUGCUAGAGUGCAGAAAGGGCAAUCGGAAUUCUCGGUGUAGCGGUGAAAUGCGUAGAUAUCGAGAGGAACACCUGAGGCGAAGGCGGGUUGCUAGGCUGACACUGACGCUGAGGCGCGAAAGCUAGGGUAGCAAACGGG